ACGGCUACAUCCCGUUGAAACACUGGUAACCGAGCGAUCACCUAAGUUAAGCAACGUUGAGCCUGGUCAGUACCUAGAUGGGUAACCGCUUGGGAAUACUAAGAGAUGUAAG